GAGGAGGACUAGACCCAUCCACCCCCCCCUCCUGGUGAUUUUUUCCUGACCAGCACGGCAGGCUCGUGGGUAGCAGCAGGGAAGAGCUUUGCUCCGGCGGCGUGAGAGCAAAUCCUGCAGCGCAGUUGCGGUUUGCUCCCCGACCUCCCUGGUCCUACCUUUACCCCCAAGCCUCAAAAUCUGUCCCCAGUGCAAGGGACAAGGCCAUGCACCAGAAUCUCCACCUGAAGCUGGAAGUCUCCAAAGCAUCACCCAGGUUCAGCUGCUUCAGGAAUGGGAUCAGGAGGUUUUGGGAGUGAAUCACAGAAGGAGAAACACCAUCCACCCCAGCAUCU